GAGGGAAGAUGCAGCCCCAGCAUAACACAGCAUAACACGGGGCUUCUGACCACGUGGAAGCGCACAGAGUUUGAAGGAAAGAAGAUAAAAGUACUCUUCUUGCUUUUCAUCUUAGAAAACCUGAAAUGAUCUUUUCUGAGCAGUUCUGGAGUGGCAAUGAAGGGACACAUGCACCCAACAAGCAGACCUGGAGCUGAAGCCAUUGGCACCCAAAGAGUUCUGCCCAGAUGUGUGCCCGCCUUCUGCUCAGAGCAGCAGAGCCGAUGAAACACACACUGCACAGCAGCUUGCGAUGCAUGGGAAAGGCUGGACGGGCUGGAGCAGCUCCUCCGAGCUCCUGGUGUACAACAGCACAAAAUGCAAUUGGUCAGAGCGUGAUCAGACUCGCAUAGUUGGAAUACCAAAGGAGCGAGUCACCUUCCACUCUUGCUGUAGCCAGCGUUAGGAAGAGAUGUCCAGGUCUGCAACAGACUGUUUUCUCCUUUUGUUUGGAUGUGAAGGGUUCUGUUCUUCACAGAAGCAGGAACAGACCCCCCACUCAUUGAUUUGCAUCCAGGAAACGGAAGGUAACUGAUAUCAGGGAGACGGACGAGGUGAUUGUAUCCAUGACAACCAGCAGAUACAGCCUUGCUGCCUGGCAGCCCUUCCCUGGUCACCUCCUCUGCCUUCCCAGCUCCAGUGGGUCCCUCUCCUCGAGGCACCUCUUGGUGCAGUUCAGUGUUCCUGAGAAGUAGCUGACAAAUUCCCAAAUGUAGUGUGGCGAGAGCUUAAUCAGUUCUCAUGUCCAUCAGCAGAACGCUUCCCCAAUCUGAGCUGCAUCUGCUUCUGCCAAGGACUCCCUGGCAGCCCCAAAGGUGGCUUCAGGAAAUCCGGUCCAUGGAGGAACAGCAUGACUUGCAGGAGCACUGCACAGAUGCAGGUUGGGCUCAGAACCAGCAGGCAAAAUACAGCAUGCAGCCUGAAAGCAUUUCAGGUAUGCCAACCACCUUAACAAAUGCAGGAAUCAGUGAAUCGAGCAAGGCAGCAGGAUGCUCGCCUCUGCUGGAAGCGCUGGCAGAAGUUAAAUGUGUUGUUCUCUGAGCAGAGCUUCAAUCUGCACAUGUCCUUCUGGGAGGAGAGCUGCCUGCACUGCAGUCCCCGAGGAGUUCCUCACCCCACACCUGCUGGAGUGUCCCUCCUGCAUUCCAGACCUGCCCUGGAGAACGCUGCCACGUGAGGCAGUGCACAGCAGUGAGGAAUGGAAAGAAAUCUGUCACAAAAGGAAAAAGCAAUUCUGCUGCUGAAUCCAGCCAGAGCUCCUUGUUUGCAGGACUCCUGCUGUAUAUCGUCAGUGUGGUGUUUGAACCAUAAUAAGGAAAAAUGUCUCCCUGGGAUCAAAAAAAAAAAGUUGAUUUCUCAUCUCUUCCUCUGCACUGGAAAAACAAAGCAGAAGAGGUGAGGAAAUGAGAGCCUGAACUGAGAGCUGGGCGUUAGAAGACAGGACGUGGAGUUCAAGUUCUGUCCUGAUGAGCUAUUGAAAACAUGACUCAGUUUCCCUAUUAGUGAUGGGGUUAACAACGAGCUGAUGAGUGAAUCUUAAAAAUGCAAAGAAGGUUGCUGUAAACUCUAAUUAAAGG
ensembl:lncRNA